GGUUAAGUCCCGCAACGAGCGCAACCUCGACCUUAGUUGCCAGCAUUCAGUUGGGCACUCUAAGGUGACUGCCGGCUAAAAGUCGGAGGAAGGUGGGGAUGACGUCAAAUCAUCAUGCCCCUUAUGACCUGGGCUACACACGUGCUACAAUGGGCGGUACAAAGGGUCGCGAACCCGCGAGGGGGAGCCAAUCCCAAAAAGCCGCUCUCAGUUCGGAUUGCAGGCUGCAACUCGCCUGCAUGAAGCCGGAAUCGCUAGUAAUCGCGGAUCAGCAUGCCGCGGUGAAUACGUUCCCGGGCCUU
rnacentral:rRNA from 1 species